rnacentral:rRNA from 1 species
CACGUAGGCGGUUUGUUAAGUCGGAUGUGAAAGCCCCGGGCUCAACCUGGGAACUGCAUUCGAUACUGUCAGACUAGAGUAUAGAAGAGGCAAGUGGAAUUCCGGGUGUAGCGGUGAAAUGCGUAGAUAUCCGGAGGAACAUCAGUGGCGAAGGCGACUUGCUGGUCUAAUACUGACGCUGAGGUGCGAAAGCGUGGGAGCAAACG